rnacentral:rRNA from 1 species
GCUUCUUUUUCCACCGGAGCUUGCUCCACCGGAAAAAGAGGAGUGGCGAACGGGUGAGUAACACGUGGGUAACCUGCCCAUCAGAAGGGGAUAACACUUGGAAACAGGUGCUAAUACCGUAUAACAAUCGAAACCGCAUGGUUUUGAUUUGAAAGGCGCUUUCGGGUGUCGCUGAUGGAUGGACCCGCGGUGCAUUAGCUAGUUGGUGAGGUAACGGCUCACCAAGGCCACGAUGCAUAGCCGACCUGAGAGGGUGAUCGGCCACAUUGGGACUGAGACACGGCCCAAACUCCUACGGGAGGCAGCAGUAGGGAAUCUUCGGCAAUGGACGAAAGUCUGACCGAGCAACGCCGCGUGAGUGAAGAAGGUUUUCGGAUCGUAAAACUCUGUUGUUAGAGAAGAACAAGGAUGAGAGUAACUGUUCAUCCCUUGACGGUAUCUAACCAGAAAGCCACGGCUAACUACGUGCCAGCAGCCGCGGUAAUACGUAGGUGGCAAGCGUUGUCCGGAUUUAUUGGGCGUAAAGCGAGCGCAGGCGGUUUCUUAAGUCUGAUGUGAAAGCCCCCGGCUCAACCGGGGAGGGUCAUUGGAAACUGGGAGACUUGAGUGCAGAAGAGGAGAGUGGAAUUCCAUGUGUAGCGGUGAAAUGCGUAGAUAUAUGGAGGAACACCAGUG